GGAGGAGUGCGUGAGUGGCUGAAACGGGCCGCCUGCUAAGCGGUUAGGUGGGUAUUAAGCCCGCCUCGAGGGUUCGAAUCCCUCCUCCUCCGCCA
rnacentral:tRNA from 1 species